rnacentral:rRNA from 1 species
CAGUAGCCACGGUAAUACGUAGGGUGCGAGCGUUAAUCGGAAUUACUGGGCGUAAAGCGUGCGCAGGCGGUUAUAUAAGACAGAUGUGAAAUCCCCGGGCUCAACCUGGGACCUGCAUUUGUGACUGUAUAGCUAGAGUACGGUAGAGGGGGAUGGAAUUCCGCGUGUAGCAGUGAAAUGCGUAGAUAUGCGGAGGAACACCGAUGGCGAAGGCAAUCCCCUGGACCUGUACUGACGCUCAUGCACGAAAGCGUGGGGAGCAAACAGGAUUAGAUACCCGGGUAGUCCCUGUCUCUUAUAC